UACGUAGGUGGCAAGCGUUAUCCGGAUUUAUUGGGCGUAAAGGGAACGCAGGCGGCUUUGCAAGUCUGAUGUGAAAGGCCGGGGCUCAACCCCGGGACUGCAUUGGAAACUGUAAAGCUAGAGUGCCGGAGAGGUAAGCGGAAUUCCUAGUGUAGCGGUGAAAUGCGUAGAUAUUAGGAGGAACACCAGUGGCGAAGGCGGCUUACUGGACGGCAACUGACGCUGAGGCUCGAAAGCGUGGGGAGCAAACAGG
rnacentral:rRNA from 1 species